AAAUCAUGUCCAAGAAAGAGGGAAGGCAGGAGACAGUCAUAGCUCUCCAGGGUUGGCAUCCAACCAUCUUCCAGAUCAAGCAUGCUCGCAGAUAGCAAAGUAAGACAUGUUCCAUUAUCUCAUCCUCCAAUCCAUAACAGGAUAGGCAACAAGUAGCUCUAUACCUUUAUCUUUGAGAAGUACCCGAGUCGGAAGUCAGUCCCAAACCACCUU
rnacentral:lncRNA from 1 species